AUGACUUUCAGCAUCAUCUUCAUCUGGACACUCACAGUGUUUGCUCAAGAGUGUAGAGGACAGUACACUGUUACUCAGAGUCCAUCAAUAACAGCAGUUCAACCAGGACAAAGUGUUCAAAUAAACUGUAAAGUCAGCAGUGCAGUGUAUAGUACUUACUUACACUGGUACUUACAGAAACCUGGAGAAGCUCCUAAACUCCUCAUAUAUCUCACAAAAACCCUCGAGUCUGGAGUAUCAUCUAGAUUCAGUGGCAGUGGAUCAAACACAGAUUUCACUCUGAGCAUCAGUGGAGUUCAGACUGAAGAUUCAGGAGAUUAUUACUGUCAGAGUGAACAUUAUAUCAACAGUAAAUAUGUGUAGACACAGUGAUAAAGAGUCGUACAAAAACCUCCGUCAGUCAGACUGAACAGUGACUGCACUGAUACACCUGACACAUACUGCAGCUGAUCAUACAAUACACACACACACAACAAGACUGAACUAUUUAGAAUUAAAAUUAGUAAUUAGAAUUAAAGAAUUAAAAAAAAUACUUUAACAUCCAUACUGAGUUCUGAUUAAUAUUAUUGGCGUCAAAUUCCGCUAAUUAAUAAUGAACAUAUUAUAAAACAUAAACUGACUCAUUUAUAUAAGAUGUUUUUUCUCUGUUUGUGUGUUCUUGUAACCAACAUAUCUAAUGAUCUUUAUGAGAUAAACGUUAUGAUCAGAUGCACAAACAGCCGCUGUUCAUCAUCACAACAUUUGUUCAGAGAGUUCAGUGUUCACACCAGUCAAGAGAAAAAAAUACAUUUAAAUUUUGAUCAGAAUAUUCUUUUAUAUAAAUUAAUGAUUUAUGUCAAUCAUAUAUGUGCACCAACAACUUUAUAACAUAGCAAUAAAUAUAUUGUGUUUUUGGUUUACAGUAUGAAUAUAGGCUGAGAAGUGCAUGUACAGCACACAGUAUAAUUUUAAACAUAAUAUUCAUGUGUGAACUUUAAUAAAAAUAAAACCACUAACAAUAAAGAA